GAUGAACGCUGGCGGCGUGCCUAAUACAUGCAAGUCGAGCGAACGGACGAGAAGCUUGCUUUUCUGAUGUUAGCGGCGGACGGGUGAGUAACACGUGGAUAACCUACCUAUAAGACUGGGAUAACUUCGGGAAACCGGAGCUAAUACCGGAUAAUAUUUUGAACCGCAUGGUUCAAAAGUGAAAGACGGUCUUGCUGUCACUUAUAGAUGGAUCCGCGCUGCAUUAGCUAGUUGGUAAGGUAACGGCUUACCAAGGCAACGAUGCAUAGCCGACCUGAGAGGGUGAUCGGCCACACUGGAACUUAGACACGGUCCAGACUCCUACGGGAGGCAGCAGUAGGGAAUCUUCCGCAAUGGGCGAAAGCCUGACGGAGCAACGCCGCGUGAGUGAUGAAGGUCUUAGGAUCGUAAAACUCUGUUAUUAGGGAAGAACAUAUGUGUAAGUAACUGUGCACAUCGUGACGGUACCUAAUCAGAAAGCCACGGCUAACUACGUG
rnacentral:rRNA from 1 species